GGCGGAGUAGCUAAAUGGUUAAAGCAACACCCUUACAGAAUUUCUCUGGUAAAGCAGUAGUGAGUUGUCAGGGUUACUUCAAGGUUAUAGCAUUAGUUUUGGGUACUAAAAUAUGUAAGUUCGAGUCUUACCUCCGCCA
rnacentral:tRNA from 1 species